CAAUACUCUGAUCAAUAAAUGCAUACCUAGGCAGCCAUGGUGACAAAGAACGAUGUCUUUCCUUCAGAUAUUUGAUGCUGAAUAGAAUGCAUGAAACAUCAGCUAAAUUUGUGCAUCUUCCAUUCAGUGGGAAAAAGAAGAAAAAGUCUUAGGCUGGAAAUCCACACUAUCCAGAGAGAGAAUGUCCAAAAGGUGGAUUAGCACUCUGACACUCUGAAUAUUUUAGAAAGGUGGAAGUAUUACAGAGGGAACUAUCAGAAGUUAAAAUGCCAGGUCCUGGAUUUGUUCAGCUGGGCAGCUGGCCACGCUGCAGAAAGAGCUGAUGUUAUCUGACACGGAUCGCUCAUGGAAGGAAUGCCAGCCUCCCCAGAAGGUCGCGGAGGAGAGAGCGAGGAUUGAAGGGA